UACGUAGGGCGCGAGCGUUGUCCGGAAUUAUUGGGCGUAAAGAGCGUGUAGGCGGUCUGGUAGGUCCGUUGUGAAAACUCGAGGCUCAACCUCGAGACGCCGAUGGAAACCAUCAGACUAGAGUCCGGAAGAGGAGAGUGGAAUUCCUGGUGUAGCGGUGAAAUGCGCAGAUAUCAGGAAGAACACCCGUGGCUAAGGCGGCUCUCUAGUACGGUACUGACGCUGAGACGCGAAAGCGUGGGGAGCGAACAGG
rnacentral:rRNA from 1 species